CUGGUUGAUCCUGCCAGUAGUCAUAUGCUUGUCUCAAAGACUAAGCCAUGCAUGUCUAAGUAUAAAUGUUAUACAGUGAAACUGCGAAUGGCUCAUUAAAACAGUUAUAGUUUAUUUGAUAAUCGAAUUUUACAUGGAUAACCGUGGUAAUUCUAGAGCUAAUACAUGCUGGUUAGCCUGACUUCUAGGAAGGGCUGUAUUUAUUAGAUAACAAACCAAUAUUCCUCGUGUCUAUUGUGAUGACUCGUAAUAACUGAUCGAAUCGCAUGGGCCUUGCCCGCGAUACAUCAUUCAAGUUUCUGCCCCAUCAGCUUUCGAUGGUAGUGUAUUGGACUACCAUGGCUUUAACGGGUAACGGAGGAUUAGGGUUCGAUUCCGGAGAGGGAGCCUGAGAAACGGCUACCACAUCUAAGGAAGGCAGCAGGCGCGUAAAUUACCCAAUCCUGACUCAGGGAGGUAGUGACAAGAAAUAACGGACCGAGGCUUCACGCUUCGGGAUUGCAAUGAGUAGAAUUUAAACCCCUUUACGAGGAUCAAUUGGAGGGCAAGUCUGGU
rnacentral:rRNA from 1 species